rnacentral:lncRNA from 10 species
GUAUGACACUCACAGUGAAAGCACAAAACAUCAAGCCAACAGUUCAGGACUAGUCAUUCAAAUGGACUAAAGGUGGGGGAGAAAAAAUAAGAGUGGAUAAAAGAAAGAAAGAAAACAGAGAAAGGUGGGAAAAAAAAAACAAAGGAAGGAAGAGAGAAAAGAGAAUGAGAGGAAGAGAAGGAAGGGGAAAAACAAGAUUGACUUUACAGUAUGAGAUAUACUAUUAUAUAUUGGACCCUUGGUGGGCAGUGCCUAAACAGAGACAACUACAGGUUUCUGGCUGUGGCCACUCUCUGGUGAAACUAAGGGGUUUCUGUGUGGAGGUGCCUAACAGCCACCGUCCAGUUUGGUAGUAUGAUGCCUCUGGCUUCCCUCUAUCACACGUCUUCUUUUCGAGUAAAGGUUUUUCAUAAAUGUGAGCGUGGAAGAAGAAACCAGUUAAAUAUGGAACUUCACACCAGGACACAAAAGAUGGUGUCAGAAGCGGAUCCGAAGUGGAACUUUUAGUGACCCUCAGGAGCACUGAAUGAACAUGCAAGGAACCUGCAGGACCCACUUGUGUCCAUUGAUCUCUGGGAGCAGCUGGGAUAAGCUCCUUUUCGGAUUUCAGAGCUCCAUGGACUUGUGUCUUGAGAUCCCUGAGUUUCUUUGAGCAAAUUUCUGAUCCAAAAUGGGUUUGGCAUCAUGGCAGAAACAGGACUGGGUCCACGAAUGGAUUUGAUCCAGGAAUGAACUGGCUUGGAUCCAGUCAGAGGUCUCUUACAUCUGACUGGGUCAGAAAGGAACUGGUACAGGAUGGUGUGGCAAGCUGAGUCACUAAGGCUGCUCAGGGAAAGGGAACCCAGAAUCUUGGCAUGCCGGCAAAAGGCCCAUGGUUCACUGAGGACAACUCCUUUGCAAUCUAGAACCCAAAGAUUGGAUCUUCUGAGAACAUCAGAGAAAGACUGUCCUUGCCAUCCACACUACAGCAAAGCUUUGGAGCCUUGAACCUUGGGUUCAUGAUCUUACAACUGAGAAGGGCCCCUCCACACUCCUGAACUGUACAACCAUUGAAACUCUUAAGGUAAAAUUAACUAGGAAAGUUUAUCUCCUUAAGAAGAUGGCAUCCUUGAUGUGAACAGCUUUUCCCAAGAUCCUGGAUCAAAACGUCUACUAUCACGAGACUCUUAUAUUUGAAUAUAUUUUCCGGUUUAUGCCUUUAGGAACAAUUGAAAUGAAAGGGGGAUCUAUUAUGUGCACUUAUAGGGUAUACUUUUAUUUGUGAAGGAUUUUGCAUCCAGCCUUAUAUGAAUAACCUUGUACUUUAAUAGAUAAAAGAUGAAGGCUCAAUGUAGGUGAGAAAAUGUAGUGGUACAUAUGUUGCCUCAUAAUCAGUCAAAACUCUUCUUAACCCACAUAAUGGAUUAAAGAGAAUAUUGCCAGGAGGCCUUCGCUUUUCUAAAAUGACAUCAUUUGUUAGGUCCUUUUUCCAUAGUUUAGUAUAAAAGAGGCAAUAAUUAGAAAUGUCACCCUCAUAAUAGGCUCUACAGCAAAUUCUACUUUAAAGGCUAUUGUUACACAACAGACUUUAAAUUAUCUUGUAAAAGUUAUGCUAAAUAAUAGAAUUGGCCAAACAGAAAAGUACCUGUGCAGUUGCUGACACCUGUGGCCUAUGGAGAAAUACAUCAAAUGUAGAUUAUACAAUUUCAGUUGUAGGGGAUUAAUGAAAAGACCACCUAGUCAAGCAAGUAGGCUCUUCAUAUAGCUCAUUCUUUAAUCUAUUUAAUUUUACAUGGUUUGGUUUAUGGGGACCCUGGGUAAGGAGCACACUCCAAAUUUGUUAUUAUUCUCCCAGUACUCAUAAUGAUAGUCUCCCUGAUGUGCUAUAUUCUCUUAAAGGUUUUAAAUGUUUGCAUGCAGCCAUCUCUAGAACAUCAAAUGGUCUCUAUUCAACCAGAAUGACAAAAGCUGAAAGAAAUGUGUGACCCUGAGGAUAUCGUAACCUACGAAUGAUGUGCUGAGACUGGAAACCCUAAAUGAUGUUACUGAGAAUGGCACUAAGGCCUUAAGUUUUGGUCACACUGUCACCUAAGUGAGAACCUGGCUGAAAAGGGAGAAUUUUUAAACAACAAAAUUAGAGGAAGCCACUAUUUUGGACUGAGCUCAUGCACUAGGCCCCAACAAACGAAACCAAGCUAAAAUGGAGUCACUCAUCCUAAAUGUGACAUAAUCAAACCAAGGCUUUAAGAACACAGAUAGAUGCUAGAACAGACUACAUUUUGUUUUUCUCCUGUAAACAGGAUGUCUAUCAUAAGGAGGUACCGUCUACUCAGUCCUUAUUCUCUCCUUGCAAAACCCACUUUUCUACUGUUUCCCAGUGGGUUUCAAACCAUAUAAUACAUUUAUGAUAGUGAUAUUAACAUCAAUGACUAAGGUUUUGGUCAAUCUCUCAAAAUUGAGAAAAUGACCAAAAGAGGGAAAUGAUUGCUAAAGCAAACUAAAUAUGGCCUGGGAAGAACUCCAUAGUCUUAUAUUUGAGUUCUUGCAGAUGAACUGUAACUUAGCUUAAUAGUCAGACAAAACUGAAAACCUAACUUAAUAGUAUGCGUCUGUAACAAUGGCUGAGUGUUCGCUAAUCCCAGCGGCCAUACUUCAACCACUCAUAGACUGCUGAAAGUUCAAAGUGCAUUCAAAUAAGGCAAAAACGGAGCUUAACCAGCCUCACUGUUUCUGUAUCUCACUUCCGAUUCCUGUAUGUCACUUUACCUUUUUUGUCUAUAAAUGUGUUCUGACCACGAGGCACCCCAGGUCUCUGUGAAUCUGUUGUAAUUCUGGAGGUGCCUGAUUCGCCAAUCAUUCAUUGCUCAAUUAAACUCCUUUAAAUUUAACUCAGCUGGACUUUUCCUUUUAUCAGGUUGAAUUUUACAUAUCUACUUUAGAUUUUAAUUUCUUCUAUAAAUUAAAAUCUAAUCUUCCAUAAUUUCUGAUAAAAUGUUUGUUAAAUGAACUCAAUGCAUUGGACAAAAAUUUCCUGUUGCUUUUCUUUCAAAGUACAUAAAUUGAUGCUACUUUUUCCACCUUUCUCACAUUUUCUCUGUCCCAAUCUUACACUGGAGGUUCAAUAGUCUUCUUCAUGCCUCAAGUUCUUUCUCUUGUAAUAUGAAAGGCAUGUGGCCACUUUCCUUUUCUAAUUCUUUCAUAAAUCUAAACAUUUUCACUACCUAUUGGUUACUAUGCUCACCAUCUGGGUGAAGGCAUCAUUUGUACACAAAAUCUAUAAAAUAUACUAUUUACUUAUGUAAAAAACCUAAACAUGUACCUGCUGAACCUAAAAUAAAAGUUGAAAAAGAAAAAUAAAUAAAUAAUACCUUCCCAGAAUAUUGCCUAUAGGAACAAGUCUAAAUUCCUUAAUACAGAGUAAAAUGGUAAUAAAAUUCUUGCCCUGAUUUUCUUUCUUAGGCCUAUGUCAUUUCAACACUCCCCAUCACCAUUCUUCCCCAAUCUCUUCCAUUUUUUGAGUCUAAAAUCCUUAAUACAUUGAAUUUUUGUUCAAUAUUUGUUAUAUGCCCAAAACUAUGCUAAGCUGCUGGACUCGUGCUCUUUCACAAUUCCUUUUCUGUUCCUUUCAGACUAGUGAAAUGAUACUGAUUUUUAAUGAUCUGUCUUUUCUUGGAAAUUUCCUAUUUCCAAAUGUCAAAAAAAGAACUUAUAAUUUUUGUCUCUCCAUUUCCAUAACACUUAUCAAUGUCACUGACAUAGCCCUAAUAAUUAUGAGAUGUACAUUGUUAGUUACACACAUUUCUUGUUUUCCUACUUUUGAUGUCUUUAAGGUCAGAGAUUGUAUUUUACUCGUUUGUAUUCCUAUCAGAAAAAAAACUGUGGCUUACAUGUAAUAUACAUUCAGUAAUUGUUUGAAUGAAAAAUGUAUUAAAAUAGUAUGAGUAUCCAAGUUGGUGAUUCAAUUUAGUUAAUCUCUUCUGAUACCCCUACCCCAAAAAGGCAUAUGUAAAAGUGCAUAAAAUUGUGUGUAUGAAUAUGUAGAUCAAUAGAUAGAAGCAUCUGUGAACACAAAUAAGAAAUUUAGGAAAUGAUUAUCUUAGAAACUCUUUAGCAUCAAAUCUUAUUUAUUUAUUUAUUUAUUUGCUAUAGCUUUUGGGGAAAAGUUGGAUUUUUGUUACAUGGAUAAGUUCUCUUGUAGUAAUUCCUGAGAUUUUGGUGCACACUGUACCCAAUCUGUAUUCUUUAUUCCUCACCCCUCUCCCCGCAUUCCCCUUGAGUCUCUGAAGUCCCUUAUAUCAUUCUUACGCCUUUGCAGCCUCAUAACUUAGCUCCCACUUAUAAGUGAGAUCAUACAAAAUUUGGUUUUCCAUUCCUGAGUUACUUCACUUAGAAUAACUGUUUCCAGCUCCAUCCAGGUUGCUGAAAAUGCCAUUAUUUCAUUCAUUUUUAUGGCUGAGUAGUAUUCCAUGGUGUAUAUAUGCCACCUUUUCUUUAUUUACUCUUUGGCCAGUGGACAUUUAGGCUGAUUUCAUAUUUUUGCAAUUGUGAAUUUUGCUACUAUACACAUGUAUGUGCAAGUGUAUUUUUCAUACAAUGACUUCUUUUCCUCUGGGUAGAGACCCAGUAGUGCGAUUGCUGGAUGAAAUGCUAGUUCUACUUCUAGUUAUUUAAGGAAUCUCCAUACUGUUUUCCAUAUGGGUGGUACUAGUUUACAUUCCCAACAGCAGUAUAAAAGUGUUCCCUUUUCACCAUAUUCACGCUAAUAUUUAUUAUUUUUUAUUUUUAAUUAUGGUCAUUCUUGGAUCUCAUUGUAUUUUCAAUUUGCAUUUCCCUGGUAAUUAGAGAUGUUGAGCAUAUUUUCAUGUUUGUUGGCCAUUUGGAUAACUUUUUCUGAGAAUUGUCUGUUCAUGUCCUUUGCCCACUUUUUAAGUUUAAUUUAAUACUAAUCCUACUAUUAUAUAUAUAUAUAUAAG